CGUUGUUUGUUUUCCGUUGUUUGUUUUUUGUCAUGUAUAUAUACCUUUGUAAUGCGUUAAACUAAUAACUAAAACAUUGAAAUCAUCUGCAAAAUAUAAAAGGUUUGCAAAGAACAUUGUCAAUAUGAAAGCAGCAAUCAUUGGUUUACUGAUCUGUUUCUGUGCAGCAUAUCUCUCAGUAACUGAGGCUAAUUAUGGCUGUCCUAUUCCUCAUUUGUGUCAACUUCAUUGCCUUAGAAGACGCUGUCUUAUUGGACGCUGUGGAGGAGGAGGAUGGAUAAAAAGGAAAUGCAAAUGCUAUAUCUGUAAGAAGUCAAAUCAAGACAAGGUCAUUGCGGAUUUCCGAUCUGACGAAGCCACUGAGGAAUUCCCAGCAGACGAAUCCAAUGAGGAAUUCCAAUCAGACGAAUUUACUGACGAAUUCCUAUUAGACGAAGUCAACUAAUUAUAUAUUAGUAAUAUGUUUGUCAACACCAAGUUACAACAAAAAGACACAUUAUAAACAAUUAUUAAGUAAAUAUCUGAGAAUAUAAUACAUAAAAUGUAUAAAAAAAGAAUGUUAUAAGCUA